AAGGCUUGACCUCAAAUCAGGUAGGACUACCCGCUGAACUUUAAGCUAUCAU
rnacentral:rRNA from 1 species